rnacentral:rRNA from 1 species
AGCGUAGGCGGGACGGCAAGUCAGAUGUGAAAACCACGGGCUCAACCUGUGGACUGCAUUUGAAACUGUUGUUCUUGAGUGAAGUAGAGGUAAGCGGAAUUCCUGGUGUAGCGGUGAAAUGCGUAGAUAUCAGGAGGAACACCGGUGGCGAAGGCGGCUUACUGGGCUUUAACUGACGCUGAGGCUCGAAAGCGUGGGUAGCAAACAGGAUUAGAUACCCUCGUA